rnacentral:rRNA from 1 species
ACGUAGGGUGCGAGCGUUGCCCGGAUUCACUGGGCGUAAAGCGGGUGUAGGCGGUCCGUUACGUCGGAUGUGAAAGCUCUGGGCUUAACCCAGAAAUCGCAUCCGAUACUGGCGGACUUGAGGACGGUAGAGGUCGGUGGAAUUCCCGGUGUACCGGUGAAAUGGACAGAUAUCGGGAGGAACACCAGUGGCGAAGGCGGCCGACUGGGCCGAUCCUGACGCUGAGACGCGAAAGCCAGGGGAGCGAACCGG